rnacentral:rRNA from 1 species
AUUGAACGCUGGCGGCAUGCCUUACACAUGCAAGUCGAACGGCAGCACGGGAGCAAUCCUGGUGGCGAGUGGCGAACGGGUGAGUAAUAUAUCGGAACGUGCCCAGUCGUGGGGGAUAACGUAGCGAAAGCUACGCUAAUACCGCAUACGAUCUAUGGAUGAAAGCGGGGGAUCGCAAGACCUCGCGCGAUUGGAGCGGCCGAUAUCAGAUUAGGUAGUUGGUGAGGUAAAGGCUCACCAAGCCGACGAUCUGUAGCUGGUCUGAGAGGACGACCAGCCACACUGGGACUGAGACACGGCCCAGACUCCUACGGGAGGCAGCAGUGGGGGAAUUUUUGGACAAUGGGCGCAAGCCUGAUCCAGCAAUGCCGCGUGCAGGAUGAAGGCCUUCGGUUGUAAACGUGACUUUUGUUACGGAACGAAACGGUAGAGGCUCUAAUACAG